rnacentral:pre_miRNA from 1 species
ACAGACUCUAUUUUUCAGUUUUAGAUACAACAUUUGACUCUUCGUCUUAUUUAAAACUUUUCUAUGAUUAAUAAUAAUAUUAUUAUUAUUAGAUAAUAGAACAUGAAAAGGACUUUAUGCGUGACUAAUAUUUUUAAUUUUUUAUAUUUUUUUCAAAUAAGACGGGUGGUAAAUGUUGGAAAAAAAACCCAAAAAUGAAGUCUCU